rnacentral:rRNA from 1 species
AACAGGAUUAGAUACCCUGGUAGUCCACGCCCUAAACGAUGGAUACUAGGCGUGAGAGGUAUCGACCCCUCUCGUGCCGCAGCUAACGCACUAAGUAUCCCGCCUGGGGAGUACGGCCGCAAGGUUGAAACUCAAAUGAAUUGACGGGGACCCGCACAAGCGGUGGAGCAUGUGGAUUAAUUCGAUACUAACCGAAGAACCUUACCCAGACUUGACAUCGAUCGCAAGGGCCUGAAAGGGCUCCCUCCCUCUCAAGGGGACGUGAAGACACUUGUUGCAUGGCUGUCGUCAGCUCGUGCCGUGAGGUGUACGGUUAAGUCCGCCAACGAGCGCAACCCUCGUCCUGUGUUACCAGCAUGAAAGAUGGGGACUCACAGGAGACCGCCGGUGUAAGCCGGAGGAAGGUGGGGAUGACGUCAAGUCAGCAUGGCAGUUACGUCUGGGGCUUCACACAUGCUACAAUGGGCGCAACAAAGGGCCGCGAUACCGCGAGGUGGAGCCAAUCCCAAAAAUACGCCCCCAGUUCAGAUUGCAGUCUGCAACUCGACUGCAUGAAGGCGGAAUCGCUAGUAAACGCAGGUCAGCUAUACUGCGUUGAAUACGUUCCCGGGUCUUGUACACACCGCCCGUCAAGUCACUUGAAUCGUCUUCACCCGAAGCCCGUGGCCCAACCCGCAAGGGAGGGAGCGGUCGAAGGUGAGGGGGGUAAGAGGGACUAAGUCGUAACAAGGUAACC